rnacentral:rRNA from 1 species
AUACGGAGGGUCCAAGCGUUAUCCGGAAUCAUUGGGUUUAAAGGGUCCGCGGGCGGUCAAUUAAGUCAGAGGUGAAAGCCCAUCGCUCAGCGAUGGAACUGCCUUUGAUACUGGUUGACUUGAGUUAUACGGAAGUAGAUAGAAUAAGUAGUGUAGCGGUGAAAUGCAUAGAUAUUACUUAGAAUACCGAUUGCGAAGGCAGUCUACUACGUAUAUACUGACGCUGAGGGACGAAAGCGUGGGGAGCGAACAGGAUUAGAAACCCUAGUAGUCC